rnacentral:rRNA from 1 species
GGGUGAGUAACACGUGGGCAAUCUGCCCUGCACUCUGGGACAAGCCCUGGAAACGGGGUCUAAUACCGGAUACUGAUCCUCGCAGGCAUCUGCGAGGUUCGAAAGCUCCGGCGGUGCAGGAUGAGCCCGCGGCCUAUCAGCUAGUUGGUGAGGUAACGGCUCACCAAGGCGACGACGGGUAGCCGGCCUGAGAGGGCGACCGGCCACACUGGGACUGAGACACGGCCCAGACUCCUACGGGAGGCAGCAGUGGGGAAUAUUGCACAAUGGGCGAAAGCCUGAUGCAGCGACGCCGCGUGAGGGAUGACGGCCUUCGGGUUGUAAACCUCUUUCAGCAGGGAAGAAGCGAAAGUGACGGUACCUGCAGAAGAAGCGCCGGCUAACUACGUGCCAGCAGCCGCGGUAAUACGUAGGGCGCAAGCGUUGUCCGGAAUUAUUGGGCGUAAAGAGCUCGUAGGCGGCUUGUCACGUCGGUUGUGAAAGCCCGGGGCUUAACCCCGGGUCUGCAGUCGAUACGGGCAGGCUAGAGUUCGGUAGGGGGAGAUCGGAUUUCCUGGUGUACGGUGAAAUGCGCAAAAUAUCAGGAGAACCACCGGUGGCGAAGGGCG